CAUGAACUUCUCGGAGAGCAUAAUCAGCUUCGGAUGGAGGCAAACAUUUUAAUAAAGGAGACGAGAAGGCCCUUCGAAAGAGAUCUCCAUCGAUCAAAACAAAAUUGGCACUCUUGUACUUGAUUUUCUUGGCGAGCAUCCGAUCCGAAGGUAAGACGCCAUCAGCCAAAUAUUCCAGAUAGGGCGUCAACCAGUAGUUGGUUCGGUCAAUGCACAUUACCAUCUCGUGAAGAACACUAGGAUGUUGCAAAAUUUCCAGAUACACCGACCCCUCAAAAACAUUAACAUCAGUAGUGGCUAGUUUGGCGAGUGCAUCGGCAAUAAAAUUGUUGUUA
rnacentral:lncRNA from 1 species